CCUACGGGAGGCAGCAGUGAGGAAUAUUGGUCAAUGACCGGAAGGCUGAACCAGCCAAGCCGCGUGAAGGACGAAGGUGCCAAGCAUUGUAAACUUCUUUUGUCAAGGGACAAAAUCAGGCUCGAGAGCCUGACCGAGGGUACUUUAAGAAAAAGCAUCGGCUAACUCCGUGCCAGCAGCCGCGGUAAUACGGAGGAUGCGAGCGUUAUCCGGAUUUAUUGGGUUUAAAGGGUGCGUAGGCGGACUGUUAAGUCAGGGGUAAAAGCCCGGGGCUCAACCCCAGCAAGCCGUUGAAACUGGAUGUCUAGAGAUGUCGAGAGGGAGGAGGAAUGCGCAGUGUAGCGGUGAAAGGCUUAGAUAUUGCGCAGAACUCCGAUUGCGAAGGCAGCAUACCGGAGGCGAUCUGACGCUGAGGCACGAAAGCGUGGGUAUCGAACAGGAUUAGAUACCCUAGUAGUC
rnacentral:rRNA from 1 species